CCACCUCCCUCCACCCCCAUCCUGACUUUCACCCCUUCAUCUUGCCCUGAGAGCUGAGGUGUCAAUCAUUCUGUUGCCGGUUGCUCUGGUGAAUCUCUGACCCCGCCCCUCCUCCUCCUCGCGCUGCCAGAUUACGCCCUCGUAUGUCAGUCAAGAACGUCUGCCCUGACGAUUGGACGAGCCCUGGCUGCCCUGUAUUAGUAAUAAACCUUUGGUUUAUCUAAUACAGGCUGUUGAAUUGUUGACUACACUUUGAGCGGAAGCUAAGCGGGCUGUGAGGACGGUAAUACACAAGAACAGACAAGAAAGACUGAGAGCACUGCAGCAGGACGACAUACAUGGAACGCCACAGAAACAUCUCUGCCGAAUACGGCCUGGAAGUCCCAAGGUCAAAAUGGGAGACGCCCCCUGGGGUGGUGGAGAAUGACCGAGCUAAGAUCCUGUGGGACUUCCAGAUACA